rnacentral:lncRNA from 1 species
GCUUAGAACAAAGGGCCAUGGACUUGAAUACUUUACUUUUCCAGCCCGGGGUACAUUCCUGUUUUCUUUUUCUGUUAAGCUAGUAUCUUAUAGGGAUGCAGUAAUCGCCUCGGGAUGGCUUCUGCUCUGAAACGUCUGUGCAUGAAAGAAGACUGUGUGUGAAGCAGAAGAUCUGAAAGUCUGCUCUACUGACUUCAUCCCUGGAACGAAUCUAGACUUGCUGGUCUAAUUUCAAGCUCUCUCUCUAACUUCAAAUUCAAUGCCUCCUCCACCCACUCCCAUUGGUUUCCCUGCCUUAACCUGAAGUAAGAAAGAAGUUGGUAAAGUACUCAGUCUUGCUAAGUUCUGGAAAUAUUGACAAGUUCCUAAAAUUAUUAACUGCUCUCCCCCCAGGGAAACUCACUCUUUACAGCUACAGUUCCCAUGCUUUCAAAUAGCACGAUGCUGAUUAGGUAUAACUUCUUAUUUCUCCAGGGAAUUCCUUGGAGGUUGAAGGAGGAGGGUCACUUAAGCUCAUGAAUUGAGCAUAUAUGAGGCGAGGAAAUGGAGGAGGAGUGGGGAGGAAAGAGAGAUAGCUGAAAGGGUCUGGAAGAUGAACUACCACUAUAAUCUUGACCAGAUUACUCUCUUAUCUUUGAUAUAGAAAGUCAAAAUUUGGAGACUAUAGCUCAGAUGGUAAAACACACCUGAGGAUUUGAGUUUGAUUCCUACUUUCUCCCAUGGUGGAAGGAGAGAAUCAACUACACACACACACACACACACACACACACACACACACACACACACACC